rnacentral:rRNA from 1 species
AUUGAACGCUGGCGGCAUGCCUUACACAUGCAAGUCGAACGGCAGCGGGGGAGAAGCUUGCUUUUCCUGCCGGCGAGUGGCGAACGGGUGAGUAAUACAUCGGAACGUGCCCUGUAGUGGGGGAUAACUAGUCGAAAGAUUAGCUAAUACCGCAUACGACCUGAGGGUGAAAGUGGGGGACCGCAAGGCCUCAUGUUAGUGGAGCGGCCGAUGGCUGAUUAGCUAGUUGGUGAGGUAAAGGCUCACCAAGGCGACGAUCAGUAGCUGGUCUGAGAGGACGACCAGCCACACUGGGACUGAGACACGGCCCAGACUCCUACGGGAGGCAGCAGUGGGGAAUUUUGGACAAUGGGCGAAAGCCUGAUCCAGCAAUGCCGCGUGUGCGAAGAAGGCCUUCGGGUUGUAAAGCACUUUUGUCAGGGAAGAAAACUGUUUGGCUAAUACCCGAAUAGGAUGACGGUACCUGAAGAAUAAGCACCGGCUAACUACGUGCCAGCAGCCGCAGUAA